AUGAUCAACAGCUUCUUCACUGAACAACAAACCUGUAUUUUGCUUUUCAAGCAGGGGAACAGACACCAUUUGAUUCACAGAUUAUCACAUGGAUCCCAAGAACAGCAUGACUAUGCUGACCAUGAGGAGUCUGCAGCUUCCAGUUUUGACCACCAGCCUGCAGUAUCAAUAACAAGCACAAAGGAACUGAUGUGAUGUGCAGCCAGGUGACUUUGUGCACUACCCAACAGCCUGGACCACAGAAGCACUCAGAGACGGGUCAAGAACAACGCUCACUUUUCUGAAUGGCUUUCCUCUCCAAGUGUGGAUGUCAGACCAUUUAUCAUGGGUCACGACAUCCAGUCAUAGAGAACUCCUUGCAGCAGCAGAAGAGGAUAAGAAAAACCCUCAGUUACCCAGAUGAUUUCUUCCUGUAAGUUGAAACUCUGCUCAUGGCAUGCACUGAGAGACUGUCCAUCCCUACCUCUGUGGAUAGAAAGGAAAUUGGUUCCUUUGUUGUGGGAAAUGUUCUGUAGUUUUCUUCUCAAUUUCAGUCAGUGGUGAGAAUCAUUCCCCACUUCAUGAAAUGUUAUUGGCAUGUAGAGAAAAAUACAACCUCUAUGCAGCCCUUUUCCUUUGGGGUUUCCUCACCCUACCUGAAUGUUUUUCAAGCUGUUGUGCUACCUGUGGUCUUCAGGUGAAACCUUCUUCCUCUUAAUAAUGUAUAUUGCCACUUUUCCUAGUCUGAUUUUGUGCCAAAUGAUUUUAGCUUGAGAGCUAAAUACCCAUUGUUUUUGGUGAGCACCGAGUGGAAUAAGAUGAGUCUGAAGGUUUUUUUUUUAGAAACACUCAGGAAACAACUGCUGCCAUAAUCACAAGGGAAUAGUGAUCCCUCUUGAUAAAUUCAAUUUGUUCAUAACCUUUUGACACAGACCAUAAAUAACCUUUAUAUAUCUCACACACACACAAGGGCAUAUACAGUAUGUGACAUAAACAAUGUAUAUAAAUAUUUACAAAAAUAGAAAAUAAAUGUAAAGUGCCAUAAAAACUACCCA
rnacentral:lncRNA from 1 species